GACGAACGCUGGCGGCGUGCUUAACACAUGCAAGUCGAACGAAGUGGCGAACGGGUGAGUAACGCGUAAUCAACCUGCCCUUCAGAGGGGGACAACAGUUGGAAACGACUGCUAAUACCGCAUACUGAAGGAGGGGAUUGCGUCUGAUUAGCUAGUUGGAGGGGUGACGGCCCACCAAGGCGAUGAUCAGUAGCCGGGCGGAGGUGAUGAACGGCCACAUUGGGACGGAGAAACGGCCCAGAAUCCUACGGGGGGCAGCAGUGGGGAAUCUGCCGAAAUGGACGAAAGUCUGACGGAGCAACGCCGCGUGAGUGAGGACGGCCUUCGGGUGGUAAAGCUCUGUUAAUCGGGACGCGGUACCGGAAUAGAAAGCCACGGCUAACGACGUGCCAGCAGCCGCGGUAAUUC
rnacentral:rRNA from 1 species